rnacentral:rRNA from 1 species
GGGGAAUUUUGGACAAUGGGCGAAAGCCUGAUCCAGCAAUGCCGCGUGCAGGAUGAAGGCCCUCGGGUUGUAAACUGCUUUUGUACGGCACGAAAAGCCUGAGGCUAAUAUCCUCGGGUCAUGACGGUACCGUAAGAAUAAGCACCGGCUAACUACGUGCCAGCAGCCGCGGUAAUACGUAGGGUGCAAGCGUUAAUCGGAAUUACUGGGCGUAAGGCGUGCGCAGGCGGUUUUGUAAGACAGUGGUGAAAUCCCCGGGCUCAACCUGGGAACUGCCAUUGUGACUGCAAGGCUGGAGUGCGGCAGAGGGGGAUGGAAUUCCGCGUGUAGCAGUGAAAUGCGUAGAUAUGCGGAGGAACACCGAUGGCGAAGGCAAUCCCCUGGGCCUGCACUGACGCUCAUGCACGAAAGCGUGGGGAGCAAAC